rnacentral:rRNA from 1 species
CACGUAGGCACCAAGCGUUGUCCGGAUUUAUUGGGCGUAAAGGGCGCGUAGGCGGGCAAUCAAGUCAGGGGUGAAAUCCUCCGGCUCAACCGGAGAACUGCCUUUGAUACUGGUCGUCUCGAGUGAGGUAGGGGCAUGCGGAACUGAUGGUGGAGCGGUGAAAUGUGUUGAUAUCAUCAGGAACUCCGGUGGCGAAAGCGGCGUGCUGGACCUCAACUGACGCUGAUGCGCGAAAGCUAGGGGAGCGAACGGG